GUGCCAGCAGCAGCGGUAAUACGGGGGGGGCAAGCGUUGUUCGGAAUUACUGGGCGUAAAGGGCUCGUAGGCGGCCUGCUAAGUCGGACGUGAAAUCCCUUGGCUCAACUGAGGAACUGCGUCCGAGACUGGCGGGCUUGAGUUCGGGAGAGGGACGUGGAAUUCCAGGUGUAGCGGUGAAAUGCGUAGAGAUCGGGAAGAACAUCGGUGGCGAAGGCGGCCUGCUGGGCUGUUGCUGACGCUGAGGCACGAAAGCGUGGGUAGCAAACAGGAUUAGAUACCCUGGUAGUCCACGCCCUAAACGAUGCGAACUUGGUGUGCGCUCUUCAUCGGGUGCGUGCCGGAGCUAACGCGUUAAGUUCGCCGCCUGGGGAGUACGGCCGCAAGGUUGAAACUCAAAGGAAUUGGCGG
rnacentral:rRNA from 1 species